rnacentral:rRNA from 1 species
AGAGUUUGAUCAUGGCUCAGAUUGAACGCUGGCGGAAUGCUUUACACAUGCAAGUCGAACGAUGAACCUUAGCUUGCUAGGGGGAUUAGUGGCGAACGGGUGAGUAAUAUAUCGGAACGUGCCUUGUAAUGGGGGAUAACUAGUCGAAAGAUUAGCUAAUACCGCAUACGCCCUGAGGGGGAAAGUAGGGGAUCUUCGGACCUUACGUUAUAAGAGCGGCCGAUAUCUGAUUAGCUAGUUGGUGGGGUAAUGGCCUACCAAGGCGACGAUCAGUAGCUGGUCUGAGAGGACGACCAGCCACACUGGAACUGAGACACGGUCCAGACUCCUACGGGAGGCAGCAGUGGGGAAUUUUGGACAAUGGGCGCAAGCCUGAUCCAGCCAUUCCGCGUGAGUGAAGAAGGCCUUCGGGUUGUAAAGCUCUUUCGCAAGGGAAGAAAACUUACCAUCGAAUAAAUGGUGAGGCUGACGGUACCUUGAUAAGAAGCACCGGCUAACUACGUGCCAGCAGCCGCGGUAAUACGUAGGGUGCGAGCGUUAAUCGGAAUUACUGGGCGUAAAGCGUGCGCAGGCGGUUUGGCAAGUCAGAUGUGAAAUCCCCGAGCUCAACUUGGGAACUGCGUUUGAAACUGCCAGACUAGAAUAUGUCAGAGGGGGGUAGAAUUCCACGUGUAGCAGUGAAAUGCGUAGAGAUGUGGAGGAAUACCAAUGGCGAAGGCAGCCCCCUGGGAUAAUAUUGACGCUCAUGCACGAAAGCGUGGGGAGCAAACAGGAUUAGAUACCCUGGUAGUCCACGCCCUAAACGAUGUCUACUAGUUGUUGGUGGAGUAAAAUCCAUGAGUAACGCAGCUAACGCGUGAAGUAGACCGCCUGGGGAGUACGGUCGCAAGAUUAAAACUCAAGGAAUUGACGGGGCCCGCACAAGCGGUGGAUUAUGUGGAUUAAUUCGAUGCAACGCGAAAACCUUACCUGGCCUUGACAUGCCACUAACGAAGCAGAGAAUGCA